rnacentral:lncRNA from 1 species
CAAUCAUUUUAUGUGAUUUGUAGGGAAUAAUCACACAUUUUGUGCUUAUUUGUUUGUAGGAUUGGAUUGGUCAGGAGAUUCAAAAGCAGUGAUUCCCGCAGCAACAAAUUAAAGAAAGAUUUGGGCCGUGAGUUGGAACAAGAACGAGAAAGGACUUAAGCAAUCAGGAAACCUAAAGAGAGUGGAAUCCAGAAGCUUGAUGCUGUCAGGAAACAAAAUCUGGUGCGGUGAACGUGGAUUUUUAGAUAGUUGGACCGUAGUAGGGGGUAGUAGCGUAGUUUUGUUUUUUGUGAAUUUGUCUUUUUUUGUGUAAUUGAUAACGGUCUAAAAACCGUUAUUUUCAUGCUUAAAUGUGAUAUCAAAACACACCCUUUGUAGCUUAGAAUGAGCUUAAAAUCAAGUAAAACACUUNUUUGAGUCAUGUGAGAGUCAAAAG